rnacentral:rRNA from 1 species
CAGCAGCCGCGGUAAUACGUAGGUCCCGAGCGUUGUCCGGAUUUAUUGGGCGUAAAGGGAGCGCAGGCGGUUUAGUAAGUCUGGAGUUAAAGGCAUUGGCUCAACCAAUGUAUGCUUUGGAAACUGUUUGACUUGAGUGCAGAAGAGGAGAGUGGAAUUCCACGUGUAGCGGUGAAAUGCGUAGAGAUGUGGAGGAACACCAGUGGCGAAGGCGACUCUCUGGUCUGUAACUGACGCUGAGGAGCGAAAGCGUGGGGAGCGAACAGGAUUAGAUACCCCUGUAGUCCCUGUCUCUUAUACA